GCGGUAGGCUUAACACAUGCAAGUCGAACGGUAACAUAGCUAGCUUGCUAGCUGAUGACGAGUGGCGGACGGGUGAGUAACGCGUAGGAAUCUACCUAUUAGUGGGGGACAACCUGGUGAAAACCAGGCUAAUACCGCAUACGCCCUACGGGGGAAAGCAGGGGAUCUUCGGACCUUGCGCUAUUAGAUGAGCCUGCGUUAGAUUAGCUUGUUGGUGAGGUAAUGGCUCACCAAGGCGACGAUCUAUAGCUGGUCUGAGAGGAUGAUCAGCCACACUGGGACUGAGACACGGCCCAGACUCCUACGGGAGGCAGCAGUGGGGAAUAUUGCGCAAUGGGCGAAAGCCUGACGCAGCCAUACCGCGUGUGUGAAGAAGGGUUUAGGCUCGUAAAGCACUUUAAGUAGGGAGGAAGGCCUGUAAAUUAAUACUUUGCAGGAUUGACGUUACCUACAGAAUAAGCACCGGCUAACUCCGUGCCAGCAGCCGCGGUAAUACGGAGGGUGCAAGCGUUAAUCGGAAUUACUGGGCGUAAAGCGCGCGUAGGCGGUUUGUUAAGCGAGAUGUGAAAGCCCAGGGCUCAACCUUGGAACUGCAUUUCGAACUGGCAGGCUAGAGUACAAGAGAGGGUGGUAGAAUUUCCUGUGUAGCGGUGAAAUGCGUAGAUAUAGGAAGGAAUACCAGUGGCGAAGGCGGCCACCUGGCUUGAUACUGA
rnacentral:rRNA from 1 species